rnacentral:rRNA from 1 species
CACGUAGGCACCAAGCGUUGUCCGGAUUUAUUGGGCGUAAAGAGCUCGUAGGCGGUUCAGUAAGUCGGGUGUGAAAACUCUGGGCUCAACCCAGAGACGCCACCCGAUACUGCUGUGACUUGAGUACGGUAGGGGAGUGGGGAAUUCCUGGUGUAGGCGGUGAAAUGCGCAGAUAUCAGGAGGAACACCAGUGGCGAAGGCGCCACUCUGGGCCGUAACUGACGCUGAGGAGCGAAAGCGUGGGUAGCAAACAGG